rnacentral:rRNA from 1 species
AUCUGCAGCCUUGUCACCCUGAACAAGCUCAUCCCAUCUGAUCUCGGAACCUAAGAAGGGCUGGGCCUGGUUAAUACUUGGAUAAGAGACCACCUAGGAAGACCAGGUGUUGUAGGCA